rnacentral:rRNA from 1 species
AGCCACAGCCAUGUCACCCUGCAGCCCAAGACCGGUUACUCACUGAAGCUAAGCAGGGCUGAGCCUGGUUAGUACCUGGAUGGGAGACCGCAAGGGAACACUAGGUUGCUGUUGGAA